GCAGCCACUCAUUCAAAGAGUGCGUAAUAGCUCACUGGUCGAGUGAUCCUGCGCCGAAGAUUUCCGGGGCUAAAACUUACUACCGAAGCUACGGCAUCAGUAAUGAUGGGUAGGGGAGCUUCCCAUACGGGUUGAAGCAUGACCGUAAGGACAUGUGGACAGUAUGGGAGUGAGAAUGUUGGCAUGAGUAGCGAGAUGUGGGUGAGAAUCCCACAGGCCGUAAACCCAAGGUUUCCAGGGGAAGGUUCGUCCGCCCUGGGUUAGUCGGGACCUAAGCUGAGGCCGAAAGGCAUAGGUGAUGGACAACAGGUUGAUAUUCCUGUACUACCGAUAACCGUUUGAGAGAUGGGAUGACACAGUAGGAUAAGCUAAGCACACUGUUGGUUAUGUGUGCCCAAGCAUUGAGGCAGUCAAAGUAGGUAAAUCCGCUUUGAUAAUGCUGGGAUGUGAUGGGGAGCGAAAUUUAGUAGCGAAGUAGCUGAUUUCACACUGUCAAGAAAAGUCUCUAUCGAGGGUAUAGGUCCCCGUACCGCCAACCGACACAGGGGGGUGAGGAGAGUAUCCUAAGGCCAGCGAGAGAACUGUUGUUAAGGAACUCGGCAAAAUGACCCCGUAACUUAGGGAUAAGGGGUGCCACCAUCAGGUGGCCGCAGAGAAUAGGCCCAAGCGACUGUUUACCAAAAACAUAGGUUUCUGCUAAGUCGCAAGACGAUGUAUAGGAGCUGACGCCUGCCCGG
rnacentral:rRNA from 1 species